rnacentral:rRNA from 1 species
CCUACGGGGGGCAGCAGUGAGGAAUAUUGGUCAAUGGCCGUAAGGCUGAACCAGCCAAGUCGCGUGAAGGAAGAAGGAUCUAUGGUUUGUAAACUUCUUUUAUAGGGGAAUAAAGGUAUCCACGUGUGGCUAUUUGCAUGUACCCUAUGAAUAAGCAUCGGCUAACUCCGUGCCAGCAGCCGCGGUAAUACGGAGGAUGCGAGCGUUAUCCGGAUUUAUUGGGUUUAAAGGGUGCGUAGGUUGUUUGUUAAGUCAGCGGUGAAAGUUUGUGGCUCAACCAUAAAAUUGCCGUUGAAACUGGAAGACUUGAGUGUGUUUGAGGUAGGCGGAAUGCGUGGUGUAGCGGUGAAAUGCAUAGAUAUCACGCAGAACUCCGAUUGCGAAGGCAGCUUACUAAGCCAUAACUGACACUGAUGCACGAAAGCGUGGGGAUCAAACAGGAUUAGAUACCCGAGUAGUC